rnacentral:rRNA from 1 species
GUCUUUUUGAAUUUAAUUUAAAGUCUAAUCUGCUCUAUGAAUAAUUAUUUAAAUGGCCGCAGUAUAUUGACUGUGCAAAGGUAGCAUAAUAAUUAGUCUUUUAAUUAGAGGCUGGAAUGAAUGAUUUAAUGAAAUAUAAUCUGUUUCAAUUUAAUUUAUAGUUAAAUUUAAUUUUUAAGUUAAAAAGCUUAAAUUUUUUUAAAGGACGAGAAGACCCUAUAGAGUUUUAUAAUUUGUUUUGUUUAAAAAUUUUAAUUUUAUUUUUAAAUUAAAAAAUUAUUUUGUUGGGGCGAUGGGAAAAUUUAAUUAACUUUUUUUAUAUUAUUUUAAACAUAAAUUAAUGAAUUUUUGAUCCUUAUUUUAAGAUUAUAAGUUUAAAUUACCUUAGGGAUAACAGCGUUAUUUUUUUUAAAGUUCAUAUUUAUAAAAGAGAUUGCGACCUCGAUGUUGGAUUAAAAUUAAAUUUAGGUGGAGAAGCUUAAAAUUUAGGUCUGUUCGACCUUUGAAAUUUUACA